CACGAGCAAGUGGUUCAUACUUCUGGCAUGUCUGCUUCUGACCUAAUACCACCCCUCCUCAGCCCACACUUAUGACUUCAGGAAAGUGGUCUAUGAGUCAUGGACUACAAUGGAAAAGUUUUGAACAGCAUCUAGAGAAGGCUCUGUGUGAUAUUCUGGCACCAUCCGAAAGAUUUGCUGAAAUGUUUAGCAGCCAUUUAGGCAUGCUUCUGAGGGACUAUGAAAAAGAGAAACCUCCCUGAAGAAUGGUAAAUCCAAACUCUGUUACUCCAUCUUGGCUGGAAGAAGGGUGCAGCUUCAUUUUUAAUGGGUGCCUAGAAUUCCAUUAAUGGAUGUACUCUGCUGGACUAUAUGUAUUUGGUAGGACAAACCAUGCCUUGUUGACUCUUAUACCCAAAGUCUGAGGUAUGAUGGAAUUUGACAUAUAGAAACAUUCAAUAAAUAAUUAACAGAAUAAAU
rnacentral:lncRNA from 1 species